rnacentral:snoRNA from 1 species
AUCCCAUGAUGAGGACAGGUGGCGACGUACUCCUGCAGACACUCCCAAGCUUCUGGUAUGGAUUCCUCCUUCAUCUGCUAGAAAUUGGAAAUUCACCCAUGAAGGGC